rnacentral:pre_miRNA from 1 species
AUUUGAAUCAUCUGGAGAUCUUAUUGAAAUACAGAUUCUGAUUCAGUAGGUCAUGGUGAGAUUCUGCAUUUCUAACAAGCUCCCAGGUGAUGAUGAU